rnacentral:rRNA from 1 species
AUUGAACGCUGGCGGCAUGCCUAACACAUGCAAGUCGAGCGGAUGAAGGGAGCUUGCUCUUGGAUUCAGCGGCGGACGGGUGAGUAAUGCCUAGGAAUCUGCCUGGUAGUGGGGGAUAACGUCCGGAAACGGGCGCUAAUACCGCAUACGUCCUGAGGGUGAAAGUGGGGGAUCUUCGGACCUCACGCUAUCAGAUGAGCCUAGGUCGGAUUAGCUAGUUGGUGGGGUAAAGGCCUACCAAGGCGACGAUCCGUAACUGGUCUGAGAGGAUGAUCAGUCACACUGGAACUGAGACACGGUCCAGACUCCUACGGGAGGCAGCAGUGGGGAAUAUUGGACAAUGGGCGAAAGCCUGAUCCAGCCAUGCCGCGUGUGUGAAGAAGGUCUUCGGAUUGUAAAGCGCUUUAAGUUGGGAAGAAGGGCAGUAAGUUAAUACCUUGCUGUUUUGACGUUACCAACAGAAUAAGCACCGGCUAACUUCGUG